GGCCGACUAGCUCAGUUGGUUAGAGCGUCGUGCUAAUACAAGGGAUUUACCCCUGUUGUACGCGAAGGUCUUGGGUUCGAUCCCCACGUUGGCCA